UGAGACUAUGGCCGGGGCCUAG
rnacentral:misc_RNA from 1 species